GUGUUAAUCGGUGGUACCUGGAGGGAGGUUUUCUAGGUGUGUUUCUUUAACGAGGACGAAACACACCUGGUUAACCCCUUUUCCAGUAUCGGAUCC
ensembl:miRNA